GAGCUCGCUCCAGCAGCACAUACACUAACAUUGGAAUGAUACAGAGAUGAGUGUGGGCCCUGUGCAAGGCUGCCAGGCAAAUUCAGGGAGUAUGCCAUACUUUC
rfam:Colius striatus contig71406, whole genome shotgun sequence.